rnacentral:rRNA from 1 species
CAGCAGCCACGGUAAUACGGAGGGUGCAAGCGUUAAUCGGAAUUACUGGGCGUAAAGCGCACGCAGGCGGUUUGUUAAGUCAGAUGUGAAAUCCCCGAGCUUAACUUGGGAACUGCAUUUGAAACUGGCAAGCUAGAGUCUUGUAGAGGGGGGUAGAAUUCCAGGUGUAGCGGUGAAAUGCGUAGAGAUCUGGAGGAAUGCCGGUGGCGAAGGCGGCCCCCUGGACAAAGACUGACGCUCAGGUGCGAAAGCGUGGGGAGCAAACAGGAUUAGAUACCCCUGUAGUCCCUGUCUCUUAUAC